rnacentral:lncRNA from 1 species
AAAUCAGUGCUCUUUAAUGAUAUUUUUUCUAAGAGAAACAUCUUGCUGAAUCAUGUAAAAUAGGAGACUUUUCAUAGUUUUGAAAGUUACACUGCAUCCUUUAUAAGUAGCAAUUAAAAACUUGAACCUUUGAACUUCAGCAGUAAUUCUAAAGGCAAAAAAGUUACUUUAUGAUUAUUGUUUAAUUGGACAAGAAUGCUAAUUAAGUAGAAAAAACUAUAGUUUAUGCAUGCUUUUUCUUUGUUUUUAUUUUCUGAAAAUUCCUCUUAAAGGAACCUUUAUCACUUUUCAUUGCUUUUGCCAUUUCAAAAGAAAUAGUGUUAUACGGCUUAUGUUCACAUCCUUUUAGAGAUUUUUCUACGAAAACUCAUUAAAAAAUAGACAUUAUGAUAGGUUAUUAAAUGCUUUGCUCAUAUCAGUGUACUUAUACAUCGGGUAUAUUGACAUUUCAUUACUCAUAAAGUACAAUCUCUAU